rnacentral:rRNA from 1 species
UACGUAGGGGCCUAGCGUUGUCCGGAUUUAUUGGGCGUAAAGAGCUCGUAGGCGGUUUGGUGAGUCGGGUGUGAAAUCUCCACGCUCAACGUGGAGGGGCCACCCGAUACUGCCAUGACUAGAGUCCGGUAGGGGAGUGUGGAAUUCCCGGUGUAGCGGUGAAAUGCGCAGAUAUCGGGAGGAACAUCGAUGGCGAAAGCAACCGUCUGGGCCUGAACUGACACUGUGACACGAAAGCGUGGGGAGCAAACAGG